rnacentral:rRNA from 1 species
AGUCUAACAUAUGUGCAAGUUAUUGGGAGAUAAACCUAAUAGCGUAAUUAACUUGACUAAUAAUGGGAUUAGUUUUUUAACUAUUUAUAGAUAAUUAACACAAUCCCGGGCGUUCUAUAUAGUUAUGUAUGAUAAUAUUUAUAUUAUUUAUGCCUCUAACUGGAACGUACCUUGAGCAUAUAUGCUGUGACCCGAAAGAUGGUGAACUAUACUUGAUCAGGUUGAAGUCAGGGGAAACCCUGAUGGAAGACCGAAACAGUUCUGACGUGCAAAUCGAUUGUCAGAAUUGAGUAUAGGGGCGAAAGACCAAUCGAACCAUCUAGUAGCUGGUUCCUUCCGAAGUUUCCCUCAGGAUAGCUGGUGCAUUUUAAUGUUAUAUAAAAUAAUCUUAUCUGGUAAAGCGAAUGAUUAGAGGCCUUAGGGUCGAAACGAUCUUAACCUAUUCUCAAACUUUAAAUGGGUAAGAACCUUAACUUUCUUGAUAUGAAGUUUAAGGUUAUGAUAUAAUGUGCCCAGUGGGCCACUUUUGGUAAGCAGAACUGGCGCUGUGGGAUGAACCAAACGUAAUGUUACGGUGCCCAAAUUAACAACUCAUGCAGAAACCAUGAAAGGCGUUGGUUGCUUAAAACAGCAGGACGGUGAUCAUGGAAGUCGAAAUCCGCUAAGGAGUGUGUAACAACUCACCUGCCGAAGCAACUAGCCCUUAAAAUGGAUGGCGCUUAAGUUGUAUACCUAUACAUUACCGCUAAAGUAGAUGAUUUAUAUUACUUGUGAUAUAAAUUUUGAAACUUUAGUGAGUAGGAAGGUACAAUGGUAUGCGUAGAAGUGUUUGGCGUAAGCCUUCAUGGAGCUGCCAUUGGCACAGAUCUUGGUGGUAGUAGCAAAUAAUCGAAUGAGACCUUGGAGGACUGAAGUGGAGAAGGGUUUCGUGUGAACAGUGGUUGAUCACGAGUUAGUCGGUCCUAAGUUCAAGGCGAAAGCCGAAAAUUUUCAAGUAAAAAAUCAGUGAGUAAUAUUGUCAAAUCUUUUAUGAUUUUUAAAUACUUGAAUAAUUUUGAACGAAAGGGAAUACGGUUCCAAUUCCGUAACCUGUUGAGUAUCCGUUUGUUAUUAAAUAUGGGCCUCGUGCUCAUCCUGGCAACAGGAACGACCAUAAAGAAGCCGUCGAGAGAUAUCGGAAGAGUUUUCUUUUCUGUUUUAUAGCCGUACUACCAUGGAAGUCUUUCGCAGAGAGAUAUGGUAGAUGGGCUAGAAGAGCAUGACAUAUACUGUUGUGUCGAUAUUUUCUCCUCGGACCUUGAAAAUUUAUGGUGGGGACACGCAAACUUCUCAACAGGCCGUACCAAUAUCCGCAGCUGGUCUCCAAGGUGAAGAGUCUCUAGUCGAUAGAAUAAUGUAGGUAAGGGAAGUCGGCAAAUUAGAUCCGUAACUUCGGGAUAAGGAUUGGCUCUGAAGAUUGAGAUAGUCGGGCUUGAUUGGGAAACAAUAACAUGGUUUAUGUGCUCGUUCUGGGUAAAUAGAGUUUCUAUCAUUUAUGGUAGUUACUUGUUCCCCGGAUAGUUUAGUUACGUAGCCAAUUGUGGAACUUUCUUGCUAAAAUUUUUAAGAAUACUAAUUGGGUUAAACCAGUUAGUUCUUAUUAAUUAUAACGAUUAUCAAUUAACAAUCAAUUCAGAACUGGCACGGACUUGGGGAAUCCGACUGUCUAAUUAAAACAAAGCAUUGUGAUGGCCCUAGCGGGUGUUGACACAAUGUGAUUUCUGCCCAGUGCUCUGAAUGUCAAAGUGAAGAAAUUCAAGUAAGCGCGGGUCAACGGCGGGAGUAACUAUGACUCUCUUAAGGUAGCCAAAUGCCUCGUCAUCUAAUUAGUGACGCGCAUGAAUGGAUUAACGAGAUUCCUACUGUCCCUAUCUACUAUCUAGCGAAACCACAGCCAAGGGAACGGGCUUGGAAUAAUUAGCGGGGAAAGAAGACCCUUUUGAGCUUGACUCUAAUCUGGCAGUGUAAGGAGACAUAAGAGGUGUAGCAUAAGUGGGAGAUAUUAGAUUUCGGUUUGGUAUCGACAAUGAAAUACCACUACUCUUAUUGUUUCCUUACUUACUUGAUUAAAUGGAACGUGUAUCAUUUCCUAGCCAUUAUACGGAUAUAUUUAUUAUAUCUUAUGGUAUUGGGUUUUGAUGCAAGCUUCUUGAUCAAAGUAUCACGAGUUUGUUAUAUAAUCGCAAACAAAUUCUUUAAUGAGAAAAUGCAUUUAUGUAUUUUCAAUUUGAAAAUUUGGUAUAACUCCAAUUACUCAGGUAUGAUCCAAUUCAAGGACAUUGCCAGGUAGGGAGUUUGACUGGGGCGGUACAUCUCUCAAAUAAUAACGGAGGUGUCCCAAGGCCAGCUCAGUGCGGACAGAAACCACACAUAGAGCAAAAGGGCAAAUGCUGACUUGAUCUCGGUGUUCAGUACACACAGGGACAGCAAAAGCUCGGCCUAUCGAUCCUUUUGGUUUAAAGAGUUUUUAACAAGAGGUGUCAGAAAAGUUACCAUAGGGAUAACUGGCUUGUGGCGGCCAAGCGUUCAUAGCGACGUCGCUUUUUGAUCCUUCGAUGUCGGCUCUUCCUAUCAUUGUGAAGCAAAAUUCACCAAGCGUUGGAUUGUUCACCCAUGCAAGGGAACGUGAGCUGGGUUUAGACCGUCGUGAGACAGGUUAGUUUUACCCUACUAAUGACAAAACGUUGUUGCGACAGCAUUCCUGCGUAGUACGAGAGGAACCGCAGGUACGGACCAAUGGCACAAUACUUGUUCGAGCGAACAGUGGUAUGACGCUACGUCCGUUGGAUUAUGCCUGAACGCCUCUAAGGUCGUAUCCGUGCUGGACUGCAAUGAUAAAUAAGGGGCAAUUUGCAUUGU